UACGUAGGGGGCAAGCGUUGUCCGGAUUUAUUGGGCGUAAAGAGCGUGUAGGCGGCCGUACAGGUCAGCUGUGAAAACUCGAGGCUCAACCUCGAGACGUCGGUUGAAACCGUACGGCUAGAGUGCGGAAGAGGAGAGUGGAAUUCCCGGUGUAGCAGUGAAAUGCGUAGAGAUCGGGAGGAACACCAGUGGCGAAGGCGGCCUUCUGGACCAAUACUGACGCUCAUGCACGAAAGCGUGGGGAGCAAACAGG
rnacentral:rRNA from 1 species